rnacentral:lncRNA from 1 species
GGGAUGGUUAGUAAUAAUGAGAUGGCAAAAGAUGUCUAUAUGAAUAUUAGCUAUUUAUUUUCUGAUAAGUUUGGACAUUGAAAGUAUAAUUGCAAGAAUAAUCUUGUAAAUUUGAAGUAGGGUGCAAGUAUAGCACCAGAAGGUGUGUAUAUGAUACAAACCUAUUUUUCAUUGAGUGGGUCAAACUCUAAUACUUGGAUAUUAGAUACCACCUAUAGAUCUUAUAUUUAAAUUUAUUACAGUGAUUACAGAAUAAUAAGAGUCUGAAAAGAGGUGACCUCGAGCUCUAUGGUGCAAGUGGAGAGUCCAUUAGCACAGUAGUUGUGAAAAUCUGUAUGCUUAAUUUGCUUUCGGGCAAAAUUUUAGAAUUAAAAGACUGUUAUUACAUACCAA